rnacentral:rRNA from 1 species
UGCGUAGGCGGCCCUGUGUGUCAGAGGUGAAAUCCCACGGCUCAACCGUGGAAUUGCCUUUGAAACUGCAGGGCUUGAGUCCGAGAGGGGAAGGUGGAAUUCCUGGUGUAACGGUGAAAUGUGCAGAUAUCAGGAAGAACACCCGUGGCGAAGGCGGCCUUCUGGCUCGGAACUGACGCUGAGGCACGAGAGCUAGGGUAUCGAACG